GUCGAGAAUAAUUCACAAUGGACGAAAGUCUGAUGGUGCAACGCCGCGUGGAGGAUGACGGUCUUCGGAUUGUAAACUCCUGUCAUCCGGGAGUAAGACCUGGCUGUGAAUAGCAGACAGGGUUGAUAGUACCGGAAGAGGAAGGGACGGCUAACUUCGUGCCAGCAGCCGCGGUAAUACGAAGGUCCCGAGCGUUGUUCGGAAUCACUGGGCGUAAAGGGAGCGUAGGCGGCGUGGUAAGUCAGAUGUGAAAUCCCGGGGCUCAACCCCGGAACUGCAUCCGAUACUGCCGUGCUAGAGGAUUGGAGAGGUAGCUGGAAUUCUUGGUGUAGCAGUGAAAUGCGUGGAGAUCAAGAGGAACACUCGUGGCGAAAGCGAGCUACUGGACAAUAUCUGACGCUGAGGCUCGAAGGCCAGGGUAGCGAAAGGGAUUAGAUACCCUUGUAGUCC
rnacentral:rRNA from 1 species